rnacentral:misc_RNA from 1 species
CGCCGUGCCGCGCCCCCUUUUCCCCGCCCGGGGACGGGGGCCGUGGUGCGGAGACUGGCCUCCCGUGCGCCCCGGCGCGCGGAUGGCCCAAAUGAGAUCCCUCGGCGACGCUCGUCACGACCAUUGGUGGUUGAUCUCUCGACUCACGUGCUGUCGUGCUCCGCAGCGUCGCCGGCGAGGGCAUCCGGAUGGACCCAACGGCGCGCGCAGCCAGCAUCC